UAUGUAAUAGAAAAACAAACAAACAAACCAACAUUAUUAAUGUUCAUUAACUUGAAACACUUUGGUCUUUGUCAAGGUUCCAUCAUUUAGCAACUUGUUUUGCCAAUUUGAUUAAGAAGUGACAUAUAUUUCGUAGCCCUUCAUUUGAUUUGAAGCAAAUUAUUGGUAACAAAUAACAAUUUUAGACAUGUCAUGAUUAUACUUGUAGUAGGUUUAAUUUGCCCGGACCCAAAAUUAAAUAAAAGACCAAUAUUAAACAGUCCACAUUUAUAAAAAAAAAAUUCACUACCCAAAUAUUCAAGCCCAAAAUAAAAAAAAAAUUAGCCCAAAAAUUACAAGCCCACAUGAUUAAACAGUUUCAGCAGAAGCAAAAACCCUAGCUCCCAUGUGCGCCGCUCCUCCUCGGGCACACUACCUGCAC
rnacentral:lncRNA from 1 species